rnacentral:rRNA from 1 species
AUGAACGCUGGCGGCAUGCCUUACACAUGCAAGUCGAACGGUAGAGGGGCAACCCUUGAGAGUGGCGAACGGGUGAGUAAUAUAUCGGAACGUGCCCAGUCGUGGGGGAUAACGCAGCGAAAGCUGCGCUAAUACCGCAUACGAUCUAUGGAUGAAAGCGGGGGAUCGCAAGACCUCGCGCGAUUGGAGCGGCCGAUAUCAGAUUAGGUAGUUGGUGGGGUAAAAGCCCACCAAGCCGACGAUCUGUAGCUG